rnacentral:misc_RNA from 1 species
GAAAUGCGAUAAGUAAUGCGAAUUGCAGAAUUCAGUGAAUCAUCGAAUCUUCGAACGCACAUUGCGCCCGCUAGUAUUCUGGCGGGCAUGCCUGUCUGAGCGUCAUUUCAACCCUCAUUCCCGGCUUCGUGUCGGGGAUGGUGUUGGGGAUCGGCCUCCCGGUUGCGGGCGGCCGGCCCCGAAAUAGAGUGGCGACCACGCCGUAGCCUCCUCUGCGUAGUAGUGAAAACCUCGCAGGCGGAGAGCGGUGCGGCCUGCCGUAAAACCCCCAACUCUUCUAAGGUUGACCUCAGAUCAGGUAGGUAUACCCGCUGAACUUAAGC